GAUGAACGCUAGCUACAGGCUUAACACAUGCAAGUCGAGGGGAAACGAUAGAGAAAGCUUGCUUUUUCUAGGCGUCGACCGGCGCACGGGUGAGUAACGCGUAUCCAACCUGCCCAUCACUUGGGGAUAACCUUGCGAAAGUAAGACUAAUACCCAAUGACGUCUCUAGAAGACAUCUGAAGGAGAGUAACGAUUUAUCGGUGUUGGAUGGGGAUGCGUCUGAUUAGAUUGUUGGCGGGGUAACGGCCCGCCAAGGCGAAGAUCAGUAGGGGUACUGACAGGAAGCUCGCCUACAUUAGAACAGUGACACGGUCCAAACUCCUACAGGAGGCAGCAGUGAGAAAUAUUGGGUAAUUGACGAAAGUCUGAACCAGCCAAGUAGCGUGCAGGAUGACGGCCCUAUGAGUUGUAAACUGCCUUUAUAAGGGAAUAAAGUGCGCCACGUGUGGCUUUUUGCAUGUACCUUAUGAAUAAGCACCGGCUAAUUCCGUGCCAGCCGCCGCCGUAA
rnacentral:rRNA from 1 species